rnacentral:lncRNA from 1 species
GCCACUAAAGGCCCAAAUUUGAGCUCAACUCGCUCAAGCUCAUACCCACUCCUACUCUCUACAAAAAAACAAAAAAAAAAAAAAAGGGAGCUCACUCCCAUUUUUGGGAGAGGCAGGCAGCUGCACAAAAAAAAAAGAAAAAAAAAAAGGGGAACGGGAGCAGCUUCAUGAAAAAAAAACGCAGCUGCUGCUAUUGACCUUCCGUCAAGCCAACACCACCUUCUUCGUUAACAAAGUGUCGAAACUCUAUUGUUAGCACCAUUCUCGUUACUAAACCAACUUCAAAAACAACCUCUUUUCUCUCUCCCUAAAAGGCCAUGAAAACCAGUGAGUUUCUUCCGCCGGAAAACACCCCGAUACACCCCUGAAACAUCAGUAAAACUAGCCCAAACCAGCUGUAAAACGCCCAUCCAAAUAGCCCCAAAACAACUCCGAAAAACAGUCGAGCAACCAAAUUCCGUCGAAGAUCCGGCGAGGCUGCCGGUAUAGUUUCGCGGUCGAGUUAGCUAGGUCGUUGGUAGAGCUUCAGUCAAUGUCUCAUUCGCUUUCAAAUUUGGUUGGCAUUUUCAUUGUAAUCCAACAUUAAAGGUUGCUAUCAACAUGAAAGGAAAUUGUCUGCACUAAGGUCCAUUUCUCUGCGUCCUUUUCUUUUAGAUUCUAAACUAGUGGAUGAAUAUUUUUGUUCCAUGUCCCAAAUGAAACCUGCUUAUAUAUCUUUGGUACUGGCGUGAUAUUUUGAGUUAUUAGUUUCAUGUUUGCAUAAUGGAUAAAUGGAUGCUCUGUUCCUUAGGCCAUUAGUGAUUUUCGAUUUCUUUGUAUUUUUUUGUUCACUUCCAUUUUUUAAAUUGAAAUUUUGUGUCGUUUAUUGUUGCAUAUUUCAUGUCCCAAUAGUUUCAAGUGCCAGUGAAUAUUAAGAUUCCAUAUUUAUUUUAUUAGUUCAUUCUUAUUGUUUUCCUUGAGAAAAGAUGCACAAAUCUUUAUGUGUUUGUCACGCCUCUAGCUAUUUUGCUUAGUGCUCUUAUGUGUUCAAGCUCUAUUCAAUUGUUUUGACAUGCCGUUAUUUUGUAUUUGAUUAAGCUUGCCUUGUAGCUAAAUUGGGGGUUGAUUUAGUGAUUGUGGAAGUGUAAACAGAUCUUUGUCCUCAACAGAGUGGGUUGUAGGGUACUUUUAAGAAAAUAACAGAUUUGAGCUUAAGGAUACUGUUUGGUCAUGAAAGCAUUUAUAAAGGGAUAAAUGUUAUGGCCUAGCGUGAUCACAAAUCAUAUUAGUUAGCACAUUCCUUAUAAAUUACUAUAGUAGAUUAUCCAAAUCCUUCUAGCUUAGCAAGAUAAUUGAACUUGCUAAUAAAUCCAAUAGCUAAUCUUACACUUCUUCCACAAAGAAUUUUCCAUACUUCCCGUGGCUUCACAAUGAUCUCAAAGUAAUUAGGCAAAAUAAUUCAAAUACGCUAGUUGCUUUAGGCACACCUAAAUAAAUUAUCGUGGUUAUGGGUUCGGUUUUCGUGGCAUAGCUAUGAUACGUAAUCCCAAUUCGAGUGCGCGUUUACGUGACUUGACCACAACUUCAAAUAAUUAAAAUAAACAUGUUGUGAAUCACGGGUACGUUUCACGUGGCGUGAUUUGCGAUGUGUAAAAAAAACAACAAGUGUGCGACAUCGUGACUUGUUCAAAUAAUUUCCAUACAACAACAACAACAACCCAGUAAAAUCCACUAAUGGGGUCUGGGGAGGGUAGUGUGUACGCAUACCUUACCCCUACCCCGAAGGAGUAGAGAGGUUGUUUCUGAAAGACCCUCUUCUAAAAAAAAAAAAAAAAGAAGACAAAAGGGCAAAAAGAGAGACAAUAUUAGUAUCACAACAACAAUCAUAGGAUAAAUGGGAACACCAUGAAAUCCAGAAGAAAGAUGCAAAGUAAAGGGAGACAAUAUUAGUAAAUAUUAGUAUCACCACAACAGUCAUAAGAAAAAUAGAAACACCAUGAAAUCUAGAAGAAAGAUGUAAAGCAAAAGCGAUAGCUAGUAAACAGGACCUGCACUGAAAAGCGAAAUAGUAAGCCACAAUAUUCCCACUAGUUAUCUUAGACAAAAACCCUACAUGGCUAGUCCCACCAUGUUACGAAGUAAGACACGACUCAACUACCUCCUAACCUACAACCCUAAUACUCGACCUCCACAUCAUCCUAUCAAGUGUCAUGUCCUCGGAAAUCUGGAGCCUCGCCAUAUCCUGCCUGAUCACCUCUCCCUAAUACUUUUUAGGCCGCCCUCUACCUCUUCUCGUGCCCUUCGUAACCAGCUACUCACACCUCCGUACCGGAGCAUCUGGGCUUCUCCUCUGAAAGCGGUAAUGCACAAUAGGUUUCAAAUACAUAUUGAAUCAGAUAAUUAGGCCAAUUAUUAACAUUUGAGCGACCUUGCUAAAACCACAGAACUCGGGAGUGUCUCACACCUUCUCCCAGGUUAACAGAAUUUCUUACCCGGUCUUCUGUGUUCGCAGACCAUAAAUAAGAGUCAAUUUCCUCGAUUUGGGAUUUAAAAUAAAUCGGUGACUUGGGACACCAUAAAUUAUUCCAAGUAGCGAUUCUGAAUUUAAUAAAUAAUUUUAUUUCGAUUAAUGUCACUUUAAUUGAAAAAACUCUCAUAUCCCCCUCAGAAAAAAGGAGGUGUGAUAGCUGUUAUACUUGAAAAGAAAAUGUUUAUUUUUCCGAAAUUGUAUACGAGCUGAGCAUUUUAUUUAUUGAGUUAUUUCUGGUGUUACUUUCAUUAUAUUGUUAUGCAUUGUUGCUGGUUAUUGGUGUUGUAUGCUGACUUUUGUUUUAGCUCGUCACUACUUUCAAUCUAAGGUUAGGUUUGUUACUUAUUGAGUACAUGUAGUCGGUUGUACUCAUACUACACUUAUGUACCUUGCGUGCAAAUUUUGGAUGUUGGUGUUGUACAUGGCGGGAUCAAGCAUUGAAGAUGUACCUGCGAUCCAGUCACAAAUGUCUCUUGUUCUUGGUAGCUUUAAAAAUUUUAAUCUGUUCAGGUAUAUUUCAAACAAAUGAUGUAUUUUUAUUCACACCAGAUUUGUAAAUUCUAAUCUUAAAAACUCAUGAGUUG